ACGCAGCGAAAUGCGAUAACUAAUGUGAAUUGCAGAAUUCAGUGAAUCAUCGAGUCUUUGAACGCACAUUGCGCCCCCUGGUAUUCCGGGGGGCAUGCCUGUCCRAGCGUCAUUGCUGCCCUCAAGCCCGGCUUGUGUGUUGGGUCGCCGUCCCCCU
rnacentral:rRNA from 1 species